rnacentral:lncRNA from 1 species
AUGAGCUUGGGAAAUCUGACUCAGGAGUCGCCGUCCAGGAUUCAGAAGGUUUGCACUCCAUGCUCAUUUUCUCCUGUCUUGAUACAACUUGGCAAACCAAACAGUGACCUCCUUGUUGGCUCUGCUGAACAGUUCUGGGACCCAUGCCAGCGCUCCCUGCAUUCCUUGGAGACAGGAGCACCCUCCUGUGCCCCCUUGGAGAGACAGUCCCCAGACACGGAGCCGAAUUGUCAACGAACCCCACUAGCUUGGUUCUCAAACAAGCUCGGGCACAAUCACCUGGAGAACUUGUCAUGA